rnacentral:tRNA from 1 species
AGCCUUAUAUUCAAAUAUGAAUUUAAGCUGCAAACUUAAAAGUGGGGAAAUCCUAAGGCUU